rnacentral:rRNA from 1 species
CAGUUCGAUUGUAGGCUGCAACUCGCCUACAUGAAGUCGGAAUCGCUAGUAAUCGCGGAUCAGCAUGCCGCGGUGAAUACGUUCCCGGGCCUUGUACACACCGCCCGUCACACCAUGAGAGUUUGUAACACCCAAAGCCGGUGGGGUAACCUUUUGGAGCCAGCCGUCUGAGGUGGGACAGAUGAUUGGGGUGAAGUCGUAACAAGGUAAC